rnacentral:rRNA from 1 species
GCUUACGGCCACACCUCCCUGAGCACGCCCGAUCUCGUCUGAUCUCGGAGCUAAGCAGGGUCGGGCCCGGUUAGUAGUUGGCUGGGAGACCGCCUGGAAUACCAGUGCUGUAAGCC